ACCAGCGCAGCAUCACGACCCCGCCGCCAUCUGCCCGCCCCCCCGGCACCGCCGCGCCUGCGCGUCAUGGGAGCGCUGAGGGAUCCUACGGGCCGGCGGGGAGGACAAAGUACCGGAAAGGCCCAGGGCGUGGGUUUUGUCCGCGCUUGCUUUUUCUUUGUUUUUGUUCCCUCCCCCCGACAAUAGCUGUAUUUUACAAUCCUAAGUCAGCUGUUGUUUUGGAGGUGGGUCACGAGGUGUGUGAGAUCGCAGCGGUUUAAGCAAACAACCUCAUUCUGGAAGCCCCAGUUGUUAAAAGGCGAAUGAGAUCUCUCAGGGCUCCAGGAAAGCGUGUUCCAGCCGAGCCUUGUGCCGAGAUGGCCCCUGAAGUGAGGAGAAACACCUUCACAGAAUCACAGGAUCAUUAGGGUUGGGAGGGACCUCUGGAAAUCUGCAGUUCAACCCCCUGCUAAGGCAGGGUCUCCUGGAAUAGGUGACACAGGAACACUUCCAGUUUACAGGCAUUGCUCCUUUUCCUGUUGCUGAGCACCACUUAAAAUGGUCUGGUACCAUCCUCU